UACGUAGGGUGCGAGCGUUAAUCGGAAUUACUGGGCGUAAAGCGUGCGCAGGCGGUUCGUUGUGUCUGUGGUGAAAGCCCCGGGCUUAACCUGGGAAUGGCCAUGGAAACUGGCGAGCUGGAGUGUGGCAGAGGGGGGUGGAAUUCCGCGUGUAGCAGUGAAAUGCGUAGAGAUGCGGAGGAACCCCAGAGGCGAAGGCGGCAGCCUGGUUGGCUCCUGACGCUCGGACACGACAGCAUGGGGAGCGAACGGG
rnacentral:rRNA from 1 species